GAUGAACGCUGGCGUCGUGCCUAAUACAUGCCAGUCGAGCGAACAGACGAGGAGCUUGCUCCUCUGACGUUAGCGGCGGACGGGUGAGUAACACGUGGAUAACCUACCUAUAAGACUGGGAUAACUUCGGGAAACCGGAGCUAAUACCGGAUAAUAUAUUGAACCGCAUGGUUCAAUAGUGAAAGACGGUUUUGCUGUCACUUAUAGAUGGAUCCGCGCCGCAUUAGCUAGUUGGUAAGGUAACGGCUUACCAAGGCAACGAUGCGUAGCCGACCUGAGAGGGUGAUCGGCCACACUGGAACUGAGACACGGUCCAGACUCCUACGGGAGGCAGCAGUAGGGAAUCUUCCGCAAUGGGCGAAAGCCUGACGGAGCAACGCCGCGUGAGUGAUGAAGGUCUUCGGAUCGUAAAACUCUGUUAUUAGGGAAGAACAAAUGUGUAAGUAACUAUGCACGUCUUGACGGUACCUAAUCAGAAAGCCACGGCUAACUACGUG
rnacentral:rRNA from 1 species